GUCAAUUACAUAAUUUACACUAUUUUUCUUUCAACCCUCUGUCACUAAGCGUUAUGAUAGAAAUUUCUGUUCAAAAUUCCUCUUUGAGAGUGAAUGAUCUAAGGCACUAUUAUUUACCUAUAUAGAACAGGACAUCACUAUGACAAUAAAUAUGGUAUCAUUAUUUUACAAAGUGACAUUAGCAUCUGUCAGAAAAUUCGCACGAUUAAUGAUUAUACUAUAGUACUAAAUUGAUCGAGGCGCUUUUCUUUUUCUUAAAAAAAGAUUAUCAUCUUUGACACCUAUUUAAAUAUGGACCUAUGGCAUUUUACGUCAAAAUUGGUCAAGGAUUUAACUUUUUAAAGAAUAAACAAAAUUUUUUCGUAACCUCUCUAACUUAAAGAAAGCUACCUUAAUGGAGCGAGAUAGAUAUUUUUUUAGUCAUUGCUUAAAGAGGUUAGACAUAUUUUACAUGACAACAUCAAUUAUGUCAGUUGUGAACAAAUUAUCUUUUGUUUUUAGUGACCAAAAAUGGCUAUUGUUGUGGUUCCGGUAUUCGAAUUAUUACGGAAAUAAUAACCAGUAAGCUUGUGAAUCGCAAAAUAAAUUAAAUUUAUACAAUGGUGAAGUGUGCAGUUGUUGCCUGCACCAACAAAACCCAAACAAAACUAGCGGGAAUUUCAUUUCACAAAUUUCCAAAAAAUCAUAAUUUAAGACAAAAAUGGCUAAACAGCAUUAACAGGCCUAAUUACAAACCAUCACGAUACAGCUGCAUAUGUAGUGAUCAUUUUAAGAAGGAUCACAUUAAUUUAACAUGCUUUCCGCGCCUCAAAAACAAUGCCUGUCCAUCUAUCCCGAUGAGAAUCUUUUUUCAUCGUAUUCAUUCUUGUUUGUGAUAAUAUAGGAAUUCCCUCAUUUUAAAAUAUCUGAAUACUAGCAAAUCUUAGUUUGAACAUUUAUUUAUAUAAUUUUUUUUAUUGUGUCCAAUAGUGUAAGAGAAAUAUAAUUUACAAAUUUGAAAAAAGAUUUUGCUGGUUGGUUGCUUUAUGUACUCAUAUAAAUACUAAUGUUGCAUUUAUAGUAAUAUUUUAGUAGAUAACCAAAGAAUAAAAAAUACCUAUUGCAGAAUUUAUCACCUGAGCAACAAGUAAGACAACCCUUGCAAGAAGUGAAUCUUAAUCUGUUAUCAGAGAGUCAUGACAAUGCUGUUUCCCAAAAUGGAAUACAAGUAUUGUAUUGUAUUGUAUUGUCAAAAACAUACUUAAAAACUAAAAUUUUCUUGUAAUAACGUCUCAAAAAAAAUAUGAAAAAAAAAAUUGUCUGGUAGAACGAUAAUCAAAUUUUAAAAGACCAUUUAUAAAAAAGUGUCAACUAGCUAUUACUUUUUGUUAUGUAUAACGUCCUUGUAUCAAAAAUUGUAAGUUUUGUAACUUCUAUACGGUUCGUAUCGUACUGACAAGAGAACGUAUUCGUUUUUGAAUUUCAUAUUCGUAGCGGGUACGACACCGUCAUGUUCCGUACGCUCCAUCUGUAUAUUAUUGAUUAAUCUGUGUUAGAUACAAAACAAUUUAAUGAGAAAAUCAAUUGUAUGGAAUUUUAUAUUAUAAUAAUGUAAGACAGAA